rnacentral:rRNA from 1 species
GACGAACGCUGGCGGCGUGCUUAACACAUGCAAGUCGAACGGAAAGGCCCUGCUUUUGUGGGGUGCUCGAGUGGCGAACGGGUGAGUAACACGUGAGUAACCUGCCCUUGACUUUGGGAUAACUUCAGGAAACUGGGGCUAAUACCGGAUAGGAGCUCCUGCUGCGUGGUGGGGGUUGGAAAGUUUCGGCGGUUGGGGAUGGACUCGCGGCUAAUCAGCUUGUUGGUGGGGUAGUGGCUUACCAAGGCUUUGACGGGUAGCCGGCAUGGGAGGGUGACCGGCGACAUUGGGACUGCGAUACGGACCAGACUCCUACGGGAGGCAGAAGUGGGGAAUAUUGCACAAUGGGCGGAAGCCUGAUGCAGCAACGCCGCGUGCGGGAUGACGGCCUUCGGGUUGUAAACCGCUUUCGCCUGUGACGAAGCGUGAGUGACGGUAAUGGGUAAAGAAGCACCGGCUAACUACGUG